AUACUUUUCCGUGUCAAAAUGGCGCUACUUGUAUAUCGAAACCUUUACGCGAUUAUACGUGCAAAUGCGAACCGGGAUAUCACGGAAGAAACUGUGAAUACGUCAUCGAUGCUUGCUAUGGUAAUCCAUGCGAGAACGGAGGAACUUGUAAAGUCUUAGAAACUGGAAGAUUUAGUUGCCAUUGCCCUUCCGGUUUCGAGGGUGAUCGAUGCGAAACUAACAUCGACGAUUGCAUCGCUAACAAGUGUGAAAAUAAUGCCACUUGCAUCGACUACAUCGAUCGAUACGAAUGCAAAUGCUCGUCCGGAUACAUAGGGAAUUAUUGUGAAAAGAAAAUCAACUUUUGCUCUAAAGAAUUUAAUCCUUGCAAGAAUGGCGCAUCGUGCGUAGACCAUUUUACUCAUUACACGUG